GACGCCGGGUGCGAGCCGAGAAGGGUCGGCGUCGCGAAGGCUGCGGGGUCGUGCGGUGAGAACGCUGGCCUCGCCCUCCCUGACGUCCAGGAGACCUGGGUGGAAUCCUUUUCAGGCCCCAAUUUCCUCGUCUCUCCUACGCGGUGGUAAUCCGUCUCCCCCUACCCCCGCUUUAUCCCGUAGGAUCCAAUCCGCUGGGCUCCUGCUCGGUGUUCCGUCCACUUCCUGGACUGCCAACUAACGGGAUGGACUGGGCAAGAGUUCGAUUCCAUGAUCCUCAAGACAGGCUGCGUAGAAACACGAAUGAUCCUGGGCCUCCUUCACUGCCCCUGUUCCCCUUGAACCCACCCUGAGCCUGGCUCGAUAAAACUUUCCCACAGGCGAAGACAAGUCCUGACCAGACUCAAAAGACAGAAGAGUGCAGUUUUUACUAGUACUUCCUUGGGGAGGUGGGGGAGGGAGGGAAUUAUAUGAUAAAUCACACAGCUAACCUCCCCCAAAUUGUAAAAGAUGUUUCUUCCCACACGCUCCCUUCAGCAACUGCCACAUCUUUUCCACAGUUCUCCAAACUAUGCUCGGCUCUUGUCAUGAAUUCCUCCUCCCCCUUCCUAGCUGUCUCUUUGGAGUUUUCUUUCUCUAUUAUAGGAGACCUUUUAUUUCCUAUCAACCUCUCCCAGAUGCUUCCCCACCCUAUCAUCGAAACAAGGCACCUUCAGGAAGAUCUGCCCUCAUUAGAUAUGGGAAGAUUGUAAAUACUCAAAUUCUGCUUUUUCUUGCUUCUAUAGUGAGCCGUCUUCACCCACCCAUGCAUUUGUUCAUGCCUUAAACAGACAUUUCCCUAGUGCCUUCCAUGUGGGCUCUGCUCUAGCGGCUGGAGUGAGUAAGGUAGUGCUGCUGGUUGAGAACCUUACUCUGCUUUUGCAAUUACAUGUCUGCACUGCUGGAGGGAGUAUAUCUGAGCGCCUCUCUCACUAUCAUACACCAUAUACUGUGCCAGUGCUGUCCUGCCAGCCUGUAUGCAGGAGAAUAAUUAUACCCAUUGUUGAAAUCCCCCAUCCCACCCCACAGCUACUCCCAAGUGGAUUUAGCAACAGCAAGGUAUAGAUGCCCAUAGGGCUGUGAGCUUCUAGAAGGUGGUGACUUUGUCUAAAUUGUUAUUUCUAAAUACUGCCUUGCAUAGGAUGAGGCAUAAAUAGAAGCCAGGAUUUCUUUUCUCUUUCUGAUAAAGAGAACAGCAGCCAAGUGCUGCAGAGCCUGCAUGCGAAGGCUUUCACAAAAGGAACAGCUUUGUGAAGUAGUGGGAUUUAAGUCCAAGAACACAGGACUGUUUACAUUCAUCAGGGUGUUUACACAUACCUGAUGUAGGUAUGAAUAUGUCUACAGUCUUUUUAAGUGCACUUUGGCCAUGAAGACCAAUGUCAGAAAUGUGACAGGCAAUUUUAGUCCAAGGAAAUAAUUGUAUAUAUGGGACAAAAGAUGGUGUAGAGGAGCAAAAAACUUUUUCCUGUAAUCUUAGGUUCAGUGGCUAAAGCCCUACAAAUUAAGCUAACAAAAGACAGAUUAACAGGAGAAAAAAGGUAUAUUUCAUAUGCAGUUGUGGGAGAGGGCCUCAGAAAUGAAGUGAAAACCCCAAAGAAGCCAUUAGGCCUGAGAGCGUAUAUAACAUUUUUAACAAAGAGUGAUACAUUUUGGAAAUGUGUCAAGACAAAAAGGGUUUGAACUUCCAGGGGCAGUAAAUUGUGGGAGAGUAACUAUAUGGAAGAAACUAACGGAAAACAGCCAUUGCCUAGUAAGAUUUGUGUGUACAGAUACAUCUCAGGAUUGGCUCCCUGUCUGCUGGUGUGGGGAGAGCACCUUUCUCAUGAGAAAUUUAUAUCCUGUUUUAGGUAGGAAGGAGGAAGGCAGGGAGCUGUUCCUCAGAAACCUGCAGCUCAGAAUAAUCCUUAUGCCAAAGAGGCAUAUUUUGGGAUGCCAUAUUGUGAUCCCUUGCAAUGGACACAAAGAUACUCAGCCCAGAUAUUUCAUUGAGUAUAAAGCUAUCUAAAUUAGCAUUGAGAAGAGAAUUUAUACAAAUAAGUUACAACAGUCCUAAACACAUUUAAAAUAAUUUUGAUAUUAAGGCUACAUACUUCACUUUUUGAGAUGCUAUUUUAUGACCAAAAAAGUGACUGAAAAGGCCAUUUAAGGAAAAUAUAAGCCUUCCUCAUUAUUCAAGCAAGCUGAAGGAAAGAAGGCAAUGGAUUGGGGUACUUAUCCCCUUUUGUAGGAGGGUUUACUGAAUUUAUUCAUUCAGGUUAACCUGUAAUUUAAAUGUUCCCUUUUAGAGCAGAUGCGGAGGCAUUCCUGGGUGAUGGUGGGUAGUCAGUGAGCAGGGGGAGGUGGCAGGAGGGGCAUCCAUCACAACUAACAGUGCUGAAUCUCAGGAAUUCAUCAGGAUAGUUACCUGGUCCCUGUGUUAGGUAGAAAGAUAGACAUGAGCAGCCAGGGAAGGGGAAGGGUUCAAGGAAAAACAGCCCCAACUCUGCCAGGUACGGGGUUCCAGGUGAAGACAAAGGCUUUGCCCAGAGAUGACUUCCCUGCCCGUUGGGACCAGGCCAAACCCUUGCCAACCAGAUCCCAACGUGGGCGCAAUUGAACAGAACUAACGGCCCGACCCAAACCUCAUCACGGGAAAGGCCAUGUGCACUGAGAGGGGCCGCGGUACAGAUGGACGUGUCAGUCAAAUGGACCCCUUGUCAGUCACAGAGGCGCCUCCUAGCCAGAACGGUCUACCAAGGUCUCCUGCCUAACGGACGGGGGCCUCUGUCUACCGUGACCCUGGCCUCCUCCUCCCGUGGAGUAUGUUCAGUUAAACCUUUUGCUCCGUCUUGUUAAUGUGUCUCUGAGUUUCAGUUAUUUGGGGUGGGAGGUGAAGGGCACAAGGACCCAGGAGAACAAACUCCACCUGUAACUGAAAUCUUAUCCCCCCACACACAGACUGAAGGGGGUCAUCAGUAAUAAACAGUGUGAAUUUGG